rnacentral:lncRNA from 1 species
CAAACUCUCACGAAUCUUCCUCGCGAGGGUCAAGAUAUAGUCUAAUAUACCGGGGACGAAGAUAUCUUUUUUGAUGAACAAGUCCUCUUUCAACAAAUCGGAAUUGGACAUUUUGAAUGGACCCCGGAGCUUCGUCGUCCUUCCAUCACAAAUAUGCUUCCGGAAUUUCGCUUAAUUUUCUAUAUCAUCACUAGGAUCCUCAAGCCUAGAAAAUACAAUCAUACUACAAUUGGGCGCGAGGACGCCAAAAUUAUGCAUGCUAUUAUUAACAGGGCAAACAUUCAAACUCUCACGAAUCUUCCUCGCGAGGGUCAAGAUAUAGUCCAAUAUACCGGGGACGAAGAUAUCUUUUUUGAUGAACAAGUCCUCUUUCAACAAAUCGGAAUUGGACAUUUUGAAUGGACCCCGGAGCUUCGUCGUCCUUCCAUCACAAAUAUGCUUCCGGAAUUUCACUUAAUUUUCUAUAUCAUCACUAGGAUUCUCAAGCCUAGAAAAUACAAUCACACUACAAUUGGGCGCGAGGACACCAAAAUUAUGCAUGCUAUUAUUAACAAGGCACACAUUAAUUGGUGCAAAUUUAUUCUCACUCACAUGCAUGAUUCCAUAGGUGAUGACAAACCUCUUCCAUAUGCUUUUCUCAUUAUGAUCAUUCUUGAAGCAUUGGAAAUUAACACCAAUAUUGGUCCGAAGAAAAAUCGCACCAAAAUUUGGAGAUUCAAGAAACAUCCUUUCGUAGCGGAGAUCAUCCCGCUCCUCCUCCUCCUCCGCCUACUCAACCAACUCCUCAACCAAGUCGUCGCUCGGAUAUUACACUUGAAAGUAUUUCUGAGCAAAUAGCUUCACUUUCAACUACUCUAUCAACCUCAAUAGAUCGGAUUGAUAGAAAUGUAUCCUGCAAAGCAAAUAGCUUCUCUUUCAACUACUCUAUCAACCUCAAUAGAUCGGAUUGAUAGAAAUGUAUCCCGCACGGAAAGACAUGUGCGAAGAUUGAGCAAUGAACUUCAAGGGUACUUUGACCAUGUCAACUACCCCUACACUCAAGUCCACUCUUCCAAUGAUUCAAGCGACGAAUUUGAUGAUGAUUUUUAAAAUGUAUUUUUUUGAUAUUGUUUUGUACUCUUUCCUUUCAUCAAUAAAAUUGCCUUUUUGUUAAUGUCAAAAGGGGGAAGAGAAGGGUAUAUGUAUUUUUG